rnacentral:rRNA from 1 species
AAGCUGAUGUAUAGGGGCUGACGCCUGCCCGGUGCUGGAAGGUUAAGGGGAAUAGUUAGCGCAAGCGAAGCUAUGAACUUAAGCCCCAGUAAACGGCGGCCGUAACUAUAACGGUCCUAAGGUAGCGAAAUUCCUUGUCGGGUAAGUUCCGACCCGCACGAAUGGCGUAAUGAUUUGAGCACUGUCUCGGCAAUAAAUCCGGUGAAAUUGUAGUGCAAGUGAAGAUGCUUGCUACCCGCGGUUGGACGGAAAGACCCCGUAGAGCUUUACUGUAGCUUAGCAUUGAAUUUCGGUAUUGUCUGUACAGGAUAGGUGGGAGACUUAGAAGCGAGGGCGUCAGCUUUCGUGGAGUCGUCCUUGGGAUACCACCCUGACAGUACUGGAAUUCUAACUGGAGGCCAUGAAUCUGGUCACAGGACAUUGCUAGGUGGGCAGUUUGACUGGGGCGGUCGCCUCCUAAAAGGUAACGGAGGCGCCCAAAGGUUCCCUCAGCGCGGUCGGAAAUCGCGCGUAGAGUGCAAAGGCAGAAGGGAGCCUGACUGCGACACAUACAGGUGGAGCAGGGACGAAAGUCGGGCUUAGUGAUCCGGUGGUUCUGUAUGGAAGGGCCAUCGCUCAACGGAUAAAAGCUACCUCGGGGAUAACAGGCUGAUCUCCCCCAAGAGUCCACAUCGACGGGGAGG